rnacentral:rRNA from 1 species
UCGAUUAGCAUGCGAGUCGAGAGGUGCAAGACCUCGGCGCACUGCUCAGUAACACGUGGACAACCUACCCUGUGGAGGGGGAUAACCCCGGAAAACUGGGGAUAAUACCCCAUAGGUUAGGGAGGCUGGAAUGCCCCCUAGCUCAAAGGUCCGCCGCCACAGGAUGGGUCUGCGGCCGAUUAGGUUGUUGUUGGGGUAACGGCCCAACAAGCCUUUGAUCGGUACGGGUUGUGGGAGCAAGAGCCCGGAGAUGGAUUCUGAGACACGAAUCCAGGCCCUACGGGGCGCAGCAGGCGCGAAAACUUUACAAUGCGAGAAAUCGUGAUAAGGGAACCCCGAGUGCCCGUAAAUUCGGGCUGUCCGCCAGUGCAAAAAACUGGUGAAGA